rnacentral:rRNA from 1 species
AACGAACGCUGGCGGCAGGCUUAACGCAUGCAAGUCGAGCGCCCCGCAAGGGGAGCGGCAGACGGGUGAGUAACGCGUGGGAAUCUACCCACCUCUACGGAAUAACGCAUGGAAACGUGUGCUAAUACCGUAUACGUCCUUCGGGAGAAAGAUUUAUCGGAGAUGGAUGAGCCCGCGUUGGAUUAGCUAGUUGGUGGGGUAAAGGCCUACCAAGGCGACGAUCCAUAGCUGGUCUGAGAGGAUGAUCAGCCACACUGGGACUGAGACACGGCCCAGACUCCUCCGGGAGGCAGCAGUGGGGAAUAUUGGACAAUGGGCGCAAGCCUGAUCCAGCCAUGCCGCGUGAGUGAUGAAGGCCCUAGGGUUGUAAAGCUCUUUCACCGGUGAAGAUAAUGACGGUAACCGGAGAAGAAGCCCCGGCUAACUUCGUGCCAGCCGCCGCGGUAACAC